AAGUCGUAACAAGGUUUCCGUAGGUGAACCUGCGGAAGGAUCAUUAACACGUAUCCAACGUUAAACCCCCCGUGCACCUUCACAGAGCGCGCUGCUCCUCUCGACGUCAGCAAUCCUGGUACGCCGAAGCGGACAGACUGCAGGGUGUAGUGCCCCUUUACGACGACCAAGUUAAAUUAGGCCUCUACCACAUAGCAAGUGCGCCGUGGUAGAGGAAAACGUACAACUGUUAACAAUGGAUAUCUUGGUUCUC
rnacentral:misc_RNA from 1 species